rnacentral:rRNA from 1 species
AGCGAACGCUGGCGGCGUGCUUAACACAUGCAAGUCGAACGAGAACGGAUUAUAGCUUGCUAUAAUUGUCAGCUAAGUGGCGCACGGGUGAGUAAUGUAUAGGUAAUAUGCCUCUUACUAAGGGAUAACAAAUGGAAACGUUUGCUAAUACCUUAUACUCCUUAUUAACAGAAGUUAAUAAGGGAAAGAUUUAUUGGUAAGAGAUUAGCCUGUAUUGUAUCAGUUAGUUGGUGGGGUAAUGGCUUACCAAGACUAUGACACAUAACUGGUUUGAGAGGAUGAUCAGGCACCCUGGAACUGAGACACGGUCCAGACUCCUACGGGAGGCAGCAGUGGGGAAUAUUGCACAAUGGACGAAAGUCUGAUGCAGCAACGCCGCGUGGAGGAUGACACAUUUCGGUGCGUAAACUCCUUUUAUAUGAGAAGAUAAUGACGGUAUUAUAUGAAUAAGCACCGGCUAACUCCGUGCCAGCAGCCGCCGUAA